rnacentral:rRNA from 1 species
UUCUUGACGACCAUAGAGCAUUGGAACCACCUGAUCCCAUCCCGAACUCAGCAGUGAAACGAUGCAUCGCCGAUGGUAGUGUGGGGUUUCCCAUGUGAGAGUAGGUCAUCGUCAAGAUU